rnacentral:lncRNA from 1 species
GCAUGCAGACAUUCCCAGGUCAGGGAUUGAACCCACACCACAGCAGCAACACUAGGUGCUUAACCCACUGAGCCACAUGGGAACUCCUAUAGAUGGUUUUUAUUAUAUCAACUUACAAAUAAUGAAAAUGAAGCUCAGAGGUUAUAUUAAUUUCCCAAACUUCUGAAGCUGGCAAGAUACACAGGUAAUUGUGUCUUUUUAAGAUGUUAAAAAGAUUGUGUUCCACGCUGUGCAAUAUUAUGCAGCUGUUUAAAAUAAUAUUUAUAAAGAGCUUUGAUAUAAACUUAAGUAAAAAAAAGAAUGUGAAAUAGUUAUGAUUUAAAAUAUGUUAAUAAAAAUGCAAAGGAAAAGUACCAGGAGGGAUUUAUUACCCAUUAUUAACAGAGUUAUUCUGAGUGAUGGGGUUUGAGUGAUUGCUUUCUGGUCUUUGAUGAUCUUCCUAUACGUCUCAAUUUUUUUUUUCUGCAAGCUUGCAUUAUUUGUACAGGGGAGAAACGUUUAAAAUGUCAGCUAGAUGUGGCUGUGCCUUUUCCUUCUUUUUUCGUCUAAAAGCAGUCUGGAGGUUAUAGUAAAGAGUCGUGCUGCCACCCGUGAGGGAGAUGUGUGGGUUGCUGAAUCCAUAUUCUUAACCAUUACUGAGCUAACUAACCAAGGCUCAUGCCCUAAGGAUGGUAGAUUGUCCAGGAUGUGGAGCUAGUUCCUUGUUCACCCUUGCCAACCAUUAAAGGUUUUUCGUCUAUACUUUCUGUGUAUGUGUGUGUCUGCAGCUAUGGUCUGUGUGUGUACAUAGAGAUAGAUUAUCUAUAGAUAAUAUAUAUCAUAACAUACAAUGUGCAUAGUGUAUACACAUAUACAUACUGUAUAUAUACUAUGUAUGUAUAUUGUCAUUUUUGGUAACUUGUUGAGUGCUUAAUAUGUAUCAGGCAAUGCACUAAACUCUCUUUGAAAUCACCAGUGCCGCUGUCUGACCUCACUGACUUUUCAAAAUCUUUUUAAAGUCUCUUUCUUUGUUCUUUUUUCUUUCCUUCCUUCCUCCCUCUGUCUUUGUUUCUUUCUUUCUUUCUCCUGUCUGCCUGCCUUUCAUUCAACCAGUAAAAUUCUCUCAUACCAAAACUUCUACUCACAAAUUGUAUCACUGGGCUAAGACAUGACUUGAGAAAAUUCUGUCAGAUAAAGGGCUCUUUAAAGGAAAAAAAAAAAAAAAAACCACUGACUAAAAUAAGAAUUAGAAGAGAAAUGUCCUGUGAACGUGAUCUGUCGGAUUUCAGCACCAUCACAAAAAUAUAUUAUUUAAGUAGGAUCCCUUUUUUUCCCCUGCUUUUCCCCAGUAAAAUUAUCAUAGCCUUUCACGGAGCACUUCAGAGGCCGUUAACUUCUCCCUCAUUUACACACAGCUUCUCUCUCAUUCCGUCAUAUUUUGCAUCACUUAACCCAGUGGAGUGUUUUCAGACAAAGGCUGUCUCAAAGCUGGGGCCCACUUUGUGACUCUGUGGCAUUCAUGGUCAGUAUUGUUUUUGAGGACCAUCUGCCUGUCAUUUGUUUGCUGAUUGAGUUAGUGCACCUAAUAAUAUUUUUUUUAUUGGGCUGUGCUAGCCAAUGAAAAGGAAAUUAUACACUCAACAGAUGGGUCACAAACCUUUCUGCCUUAGUGCAGCUCCUCCUUGAGUUAGUUAAAAGCCGUCAUGAAAGCAGAUUAUAAAUGGAAUAAUAGCCUUUUUAGAAAUGGUUUUCGCCGUGGAUACUAGUUGUGGUGCCAAGCAUAAUGGCAUUAGGGUGUCCCCUCUUUGUUGGACGGAUUCUCCCCGUAAGAACCGUCUGAGCAAGAGGGAUGCGGAAGCAAUGAGAAGAAACCAGCUGGGCAUCAUGAGGACCAGAGUCAGGAGACCAUAUAUGUAGGAGUAGCUGGCAUCACAUUAGCUCCACGUCACUUGUGUCAUUGGGAGACGAAAUGCAGCGUGUGCCCCAAGAAGGGCUGGGUGGUCCCCCUCUACCUUUAUCUGGAGGGCUGAGAAGGCAGAGGCAGCAACAUCUAUCACAAAAGAAACCCCAAAUAGCCUUACUUUAUGCAGGUAGAAAAAUGGAGAAACUGAGGGUCCUGGCCAUCAUGGAAAUGAACAGCAAACCCAGACAAAUCUCCUUGGCUUGACAAUGAUCCCCUCAGACAUCUGCUCCCUCCUAAAACCCAUAACUUCUGUCCUUUGAAACUGUUCCUCAGGACCCUAUGUCAAGAAAAUUCACUUUGUCUUAAAGAGGACAUGACUUCCCUGGCCAGGAUGCUAAGUCAGCUGAAGGCAGGUUCAAAGAGCAUGAGAACAAAUCUCCUCUGGAAAAAUCCUGAUGCGAAGGAUUAUUCUAUUUGCCUCUAAACAAUGAAGUUGCAUCUCCCACUGGGAACAUAAACUACAGAGACAGACUUUUCAGUGUUGCAGGGGUAGACUUCAUCCUUGAACUCCUAUAAUACGUGAGAAGGUAGGUAUUAUAAAGACUUGGCUUAUUCUCCAGGAGAAACAAAAAGAUUCUGCUUUCACGAGUCAAAAAUACAAAACAAACAAACAAAAACUGGACAGCACAGUAACUGCUUUGUGAAUCAUGCUUCUAACUGUGUAUAUGAAUUAUCAGCUCAUUAUUUUUCCCCCUAUGGUCUUUGGCCCUUGCCUCAUCUAACUUCAAACCUCCAGUGAAUUCUCAGCAGUAUACUUGCUUUGAUUUUGGUAUAAGGACGCCAUAUGCAUUGCCGAGGGUGGUGGGCUGGAAGCAAUUGCAGUGCACAUAUGGAUGGGGGGAGAUUUGGGGCAGAUGGGCUCACUGGGCCCAUGAACAGGAAGAAGGAAGACCAGGUGUUGCUAAGAACCUUCCAUCAUUCAAAAUCAAUGGGCUUUUACAUUUUUCCAAUGGAUGAACAUCAACCCAAUAUUUUGAUACUACUCCCUAUGUCUAGCAUUCUGAAGCUGUAAGUGAUUUUCCAGAGCUUGUCUGGUACUGAAGCUUUUCAGAGAUUUUCUUUCUUCCUUGAGGGAUGCUGAGGAAUUCUGGGAAGAGAGCCCUGCGAUGGGCAACCUGGGAGGUGGAGAAGGAGUGAGUGGUGAGGGUCAGUUUCCUGUGAUUCUCAGUCAUUCUCAUUCUCUGCAUCAGAGAGGUCCCAGUGUAAGCCGAUGCUUUCCUGGAUGCACUGUCACUGGAAGAGGUACAGCCCCUGACAUUAACCCCAGGAGGGUCCCUCCUGCCUUCUGUAUAUUGUCCUGCAACCCACAGGUGCUUGAAUUCUCAUACCGGAGGUUGGUCCUCUAGUCAGUUUUGUCUUGUGUUGAAAUGCAUUGUUCUGGGAGUUCUUUCACCUGUAACCUCUUCACUCCUUUGUGCUUAGAUGUGAAUGACUUUGAGACAUGCUUUUGAAUUUUAUGAGGGGCAGGUACGACUUCAGGAGAGCCUGGAAGCUUAAGAAAAUGGGAGCUAGCCCUAGGAAGGGGAGUGAGCAAUGGCCCAGGAAUGAGAGGAUGCUGACUGAGCAGCCAACUUUAAAGAUGUUCUCCCCUUCUCCUCAGGACCUAAAAGGGACUUUAAAUCCAGUUCGUCUUUGGGACCCGUUGGCAGGUUAGCCCAAAGGAACAUUUCGACUAUGAUUACUUAAAAUCCCCAAGGCUCUCUGGAUGCAGUUAGGACUUUCUUCAGAUCAGCUGCCUUCUGACAUCUUUACACUGGCAGGGACUCAGGGACAGAGGUGUCCAGAAAGACAACCAAACAUGGCAAAUGCCCCACCCUUUCUGGUUUCUCCCCCACAUGCCCCAUGGGCAGCAGGAUCCCGCCUGCUGCCUCCCCUCAGAGAUGCUCAGCAGGACCCCACUGUGCGCCACUGCAUCACAAGUCGGGAACCUGCUUCCCUCUCCAUCUCCCUCCCAGCUCUCCUUUUCAGCUGGAUGUUGCAAGGAUUUAAUUCUGAGCAGGAUUUAAAUAAAAUCAGAAUCCGUCUGUGCCGGAGGAGAUGUGCUUGCUCGGAAAUGGAAUUCGUCAUCUGGGUCAUUUGCUCGUUAGCUCCACAUCCUGCCAGUGCUGGGACCCAAGGAAAAGACACGCUAACCCUAUUUCGUACCAUUCCUGCACUUUCCAGGGUGAGACGCCGGGGAACUGUCUCAGCUCCUCUCUCCUCCCCAAAUUCGAUUCCUGACUUCAGUGCUUUUUGAUCUUGAAACAUCUCCACACUUUAGGGGGAAAAGUGUUUCAAGCUUACAUAAAAAUUAACAAUGGCCCCUGUUUUAGGCAGGGCAUUUUUGCUUGUAAGGAACCAUGUUCCACAUACAAAAGCUUAAGGAAAGGGAGGAUUUAUUAAAAGGAUCUCAGGGAAUGUUCCCGAUGCCACAGCAGGGCUCAGGAGAGGUGGAGACCAUCAGGCAGCCUGUCGUCUUCUGCCUCUCUCUGCCACGUCAGUUCUCCUUUCAUCUCUGCAAACCUUCCCCUUGUCGUCUCAUACUCUUCUUUCCCAUGAUUUACGGUAUGCAUUACCUUGGCUUUUUUUUUUUUUAAACCCACACAUUCUGACGCACCCUGACUCUGUCCUUGACUCAGCUUAGUGUCUGGUUUCUGUCAGGUACUUAGUACCUACCUUUGGACUAAGUGAAGAAAUGAACAAAGGAAGGAGUGACUCUGCUGGGCCUUUCAGUGUAAAGGCCCAUCAUUGCCUAACUAGGUUUUGAGUGGCACAGUUCAGAAUCCGACCAGAGAGGAUCUGAGGUGUUCCGUUUGUCACAUAAGAUAGGGGUUCACUCCUGGUCCAAUUAUCUAUGGCCAAGAAGCAUGAUUACUUAGUACAAACAUGACUGCUCGCCGGGACCAUGGAUGAAACCAUUUCCCAAAAAAGGACGGCAGGUUCUGCAAAUGUGUUUCCUGGAGCCACCAAACCAGCAUUCUUUCCUGAAAACUGUGCCCAGUGGUGUCUGUGUUUACUCAAAACGUGGCAGUCUCUUGGAGUUCCCGUCGUGGGGCAGUGGAAACGAAUCUAACUAGGAACCAUGAAGUUCGAUCUCUGGCCUUGCUCAGUGGGUUAAGCAUCUGGCAUUGCUGUGAGCUGUGGUGGAGGUUGCAGACACAGCUCGGAUCUGGCGGUGCUGUGGUUGUGGCGUGGGCUGGCAGCUGUAGUUCCAAUUCAACCCCUAGCCUGGAAACCUCCAUAUGCCAC